rnacentral:rRNA from 1 species
UACGGAGGGUGCGAGCGUUGUCCGGAAUCACUGGGCGUAAAGGGCGCGUAGGCGGCUUCUCAAGCGUGUGGUGAAAGCCCGGGGCUCAACCCCGGAAUUGCCUUUGAGACUGCAUCGCUAGAAUUGUGGAGAGGUAAGUGGAAUUCCGAGUGUAGAGGUGAAAUUCGUAGAUAUUCGGAAGAACACCAGUGGCGAAGGCGACUUACUGGACACAUAUUGACGCUGAGGUGCGAAAGCGUGGGGAGCAAACAGG